CACAGGUGCUGCAUGGCUGUCGUCAGCUCGUGUCGUGAGAUGUUGGGUUAAGUCCCGCAACGAGCGCAACCCUUGUCAUUAGUUGCUACAGUUCAGUUGGGCACUCUAAUGAGACUGCCGGUGACGAAGCCGGAGGAAGUGGGGAUGACGUCAAGUCCCUCAUGGCCCUUAUAGGUGGGGCUACACACGUCAUACAAUGGCUGGUACAAAGGGUUGCCAACCCGCGAGGGGGAAGCCAAUCCCAUAAAGCCAGUCGUAGUCCGGAUCGUAGUCUGCAACUCGACUACGUGAAGUCGGAAUCGCUAGUAAUCGUGGAUCAGAAUGUCACGGUGAAUACGUUCCCGGGUCUU
rnacentral:rRNA from 1 species